rnacentral:rRNA from 1 species
UACGUAGGGUGCGAGCGUUAAUCGGAAUUACUGGGCGGAAAGCGUGCGCAGGCGGUUCUCCAAGUCCGUUGUGAAAGCCCCGGGCUCAACCUGGGAAUGGCAGUGGAAACUAGGGGACUGGAAUCUGGCAGAGGGGGGUGGAAUGCCGCGUGUAGCAGUGAAAUGCGUAGAGAUGCGGCGGAACACCGAUGGCGAAGGCAGCCCCCUGGGCUGAGAUUGACGCUCAGGCACGAAAGCGUGGGGAGCAAACAGG